rnacentral:rRNA from 1 species
CAGUCGCGCGGUAAGACGGAGGGUGCUAGCGUUGUUCGGAAUCACUGGGCGUAAAGGGCGCGUAGGCGGCCUGUUAAGUCGGAUGUGAAAGCCCGGGGCUCAACCCCGGAACUGCAUCCGAGACUGGCAGGCUUGAGACCGGGAGAGGAGGGUGGAAUAUCCAGUGUAGAGGUGAAAUUCGUAGAUAUUGGAUGGAACACCGGUGGCGAAAGCGGCUCUCUGGCCCGGAUCUGACGCUGAGGCGCGAAAGCGUGGGGAGCAAACAGGAUUAGAUACCCCAGUAGUCCCUGUCUCUUAUACA